GGCCGUUUGGUCUAGGGGUAUGAUUCCUGCUUCGGGUGCAGGAGGUCCCGGGUUCAAAUCCCGGAGCGGCCC
rnacentral:tRNA from 1 species